GAUGAACGCUAGCUACAGGCUUAACACAUGCAAGUCGAGGGACCGGCGCACGGGUGAGUAACACGUAUCCAACCUGCCCUUUACUCGGGGAUAGCCUUUCGAAAGAAAGAUUAAUACCCGAUAUAAAGGAUGGGGAUGCGUUCCAUUAGGUUGUUGGUGAGGUAACGGCUCACCAAGCCUUCGAUGGAUAGGGGUGCUGAGAGGGAGGUCCCCCACAUUGGAACUGGACCACAGUCCCUACUCCUACGGGAGGCAGCAGUGAGGAAUACUGGUCAAUGUGCGCUAGCCUGAACCAGCCAAGUAGCGUGAAGGAUGACGGCUUAUGGGUCUUAAACUUUUUGUAUAUCAGAAUAUGUAUUAUAUGAAUAAGGAUCGGCUAACUCAGUGCCAGCAGCCGCGGUAAUUC
rnacentral:rRNA from 1 species